rnacentral:rRNA from 1 species
UGGGGAAUAUUGGACAAUGGGCGAAAGCCUGAUCCAGCCAUGCCGCGUGGGUGAAGAAGGCCCUAGGGUUGUAAACCCCUUUCAGCGGGGAAGAUAAUGACGGUACCCGCAGAAGAAGCCCCGGCUAACUCCGUGCCAGCAGCCGCGGUAAUACGGAGGGGGCUAGCGUUGUUCGGAAUUACUGGGCGUAAAGCGCGCGUAGGCGGACCUGCAAGUCGGGGGUGAACGCCCGAGGCUCAACCUCGGAACUGCCUUCGAUACUGCGGGUCUCGAGUCCGGGAGAGGUGAGUGGAAUUCCUAGUGUAGAGGUGAAAUUCGUAGAUAUUAGGAAGAACACCAGUGGCGAAGGCGGCUCACUGGCCCGGUACUGACGCUGAGGCGCGAAAGCGUGGGGAGCAAACAGG